GUUGGAAAUUCAAGAUCCAAGUGUCAUUAUGCUUGGUUUCUUCUGAGGCCUCCUUGGCUUGCAGAUAGCCACCCUCCUUCUGUUUUUUCACCUGGUCAUCCCUCUGCAUAAAAGAGCAUAUGUUCUUCCAUUAGACCUGGACUAUCCAAUACAGUAGUUUCUACUACAUGCAGCUGUUGAACAAUGAAAAUGUGACUACUACAAAUUGUUAUGCCCUGAAGUGCAUAGUGGAGUUCAAAGACAGUAGCAAAAAUCAUCUUAUAUUUCCCUAUCAAUGUUCCCUCUGACCCAUUACUGGC